rnacentral:rRNA from 1 species
UGGAUCCAGACUUUGAUUAUGGCUCAGGAUGAACGCUAGCUACAGGCUUAACACAUGCAAGUCGAGGGGAAACGACAUCGAAAGCUUGCUUUUGAUGGGCGUCGACCGGCGCACGGGUGAGUAACGCGUAUCCAACCUGCCCAUCACUUGGGGAUAACCUUGCGAAAGUAAGACUAAUACCCAAUGAUAUCUCUAGAAGACAUCUGAAAGAGAUUAAAGAUUUAUCGGUGAUGGAUGGGGAUGCGUCUGAUUAGCUUGUUGGCGGGGUAACGGCCCACCAAGGCUACGAUCAGUAGGGGCUCUGAGAGGAAGGUCCCCCACAUUGGAACUGAGACACGGUCCAAACUCCUACGGGAGGCAGCAGUGAGGAAUAUUGGUCAAUGGACGAGAGUCUGAACCAGCCAAGUAGCGUGCAGGAUGACGGCCCUAUGGGUUGUAAACUGCUUUUAUAAGGGAAUAAAGUGAGUCUCGUGAGACUUUUUGCAUGUACCUUAUGAAUAAGGACCGGCUAAUUCCGUGCCAGCAGCCGCGGUAAUACGGAAGGUCCGGGCGUUAUCCGGAUUUAUUGGGUUUAAAGGGAGCGUAGGCCGGAGACUAAGCGUGUUGUGAAAUGUAGACGCUCAACGUCUGCACUGCAGCGCGAACUGGUUUCCUUGAGUACGCACAAAGUGGGCGGAAUUCGUGGUGUAGCGGUGAAAUGCUUAGAUAUCACGAAGAACUCCGAUUGCGAAGGCAGCUCACUGGAGCGCAACUGACGCUGAAGCUCGAAAGUGCGGGUAUCGAACAGGAUUAGAUACCCUGGUAGUCCGCACGGUAAACGAUGGAUGCCCGCUGUUGGUCUGAAUAGGUCAGCGGCCAAGCGAAAGCAUUAAGCAUCCCACCUGGGGAGUACGCCGGCAACGGUGCAACUCAAAUGAAUUGACGGA